ACAUGCCUACAACAUAGCGUUAAUACAACGAAUCCCAUUAGAAAUCCACAGUUAAGCGCGCUUAGGCUAGAGUAGUACUAAAAAGUCCUAGUGUUUUACAUGCC
rfam:Picea glauca, whole genome shotgun sequence.